rnacentral:tRNA from 1 species
GCGCCCAUAGCUCAAUUGUAGAGUACAUGCCUGAUUAGCGUGUGGUUCGAGGUUCAAGUCCUCGUGGGCGCACCA